rnacentral:rRNA from 1 species
AAUCAACGCUGGCGGCGUGCCUCAGACAUGCAAGUCGAACGCGAAAGAGGGCUUCGGCCCUUGAGUAGAGUGGCGCACGGGUGAGUAACACGUGGGUAAUUUACCUUUGGGUGGGGAAUAACAGUCGGAAACGGCUGCUAAUACCGCAUAAUGCAGCGGCUCCACAUGGAGACAGUUGUUAAAGCGGGGGAGCGAGCAAUCGCCCUCGCGCCUGAAGAGAAGCCCGCGGCAGAUUAGCUAGUUGGUGAGGUAAUGGCUCACCAAGGCUUCGAUCUGUAGCCGGCCUGAGAGGGCGGUCGGCCACACUGACACUGAAUAACGGGUCAGACUCCUACGGGAGGCAGCAGUCGGGAAUUUUGGGCAAUGGGCGCAAGCCUGACCCAGCAACGCCGCGUGAAGGAUGAAAUCUUUCGGGAU